rnacentral:rRNA from 1 species
UACGGAGGAUCCAAGCGUUAUCCGGAUUUAUUGGGCGUAAAGGGUGUGUAGGUGGCGCCGUAAGUCGGGUGUGAAAUUUCGGAGCUUAACUCCGAAACUGCAUUCGAUACUGCGGUGCUUGAGGACUGGAGAGGAGACUGGAAUUCAUGGUGUAGCAGUGAAAUGCGUAGAGAUCAUGAGGAAGACCAGUGGCGAAGGCGGGUCUCUGGACAGUUCCUGACACUGAGACACGAAGGCCAGGGGAGCAAACGGG